rnacentral:rRNA from 1 species
AUGGCGGCGGCCACCUCCUCGUCGGCGGUGGCGGUAUCUACGCCGCAGGGAGUGGCGGAGCGGCGGGGAAUCCCGGCGGCUUCCUUCGUCGAGGAUGUCGAGACCUACCUCCGGCAGGCCGGGCUCGAGGUCAACUCCGCCCUCGCCUUCCUCCAAGAAAGGCUGCAGCAGUACAAAAUGGUGGAGAUGAAACUUUUAGCACAACAAAGAGAACUUCAGGCGAAAAUUCCUGAUAUAGAGAAGUGCUUGGAUAUUGUUGCGACAUUGAAAGCUAAAAAAGCUUUGGGUGAGGCACUCAUAGCUGAUUUUGAAUUAUCCGAGGGAAUCUAUUCGCGUGCUAAAAUUGAGGACUCUGACUCAGUGUGCCUAUGGUUGGGUGCAAAUGUGAUGCUGGAAUACUCCUGUGACGAGGCCAAUGAGCUCUUGAAAAGUAACUUGGAAAAUGCGAGGGCCAGUUUGGAAGUCCUUGUUGGCGAUCUUCAUUUCUUACGGGACCAGCAAACGAUAACUCAGGUUACAAUUGCUCGGAUAUUUAACUGGGACGUGCACCAGCGGAGAAGCAAGCAGUCUGUUAUGAAAGAAACGUGA